GACGAACGCUGGCGGCGUGCUUAACACAUGCAAGUCGAGCGGUAAGGCCCUUUCGGGGGUACACGAGCGGCGAACGGGUGAGUAACACGUGGGUGACCUGCCCUCAGCUCUGGGAUAAGCCUGGGAAACCGGGUCUAAUACCGGAUAUGACUCCAUGACGCAUGUUGUGGGGUGGAAAGCCUUGUGCGACUGAGGAUGGGCCCGCGGCCUAUCAGCUUGUUGGUGGGGUGAUGGCCUACCAAGGCGACGACGGGUAGCCGGCCUGAGAGGGCGACCGGCCACACUGGGACUGAGACACGGCCCAGACUCCUACGGGAGGCAGCAGUGGGGAAUCUUGCGCAAUGGGCGAAAGCCUGACGCAGCGACGCCGCGUGAGGGAUGACGGCCUCGG
rnacentral:rRNA from 1 species